rnacentral:rRNA from 1 species
GACGAACGCUGGCGGCGCGCUUAACACAUGCAAGUCGAGCGACGAAAGGACCUUCGGGUCCCUGAAAGCGGCGAACGGGUGAGUAACACGUGGGUAACCUACCCUUGGUACCGGGAUAGCUCGGGGAAACUCGGAUUAAUACCGGAUGGCCUCUCUGGUCUGCGGACUGGCGAGAAAGGUAGCUUCGGCUUCCGACCAGGGACGGGCCCGCGGCCGAUUAGCUUGUUGGUGAGGUAACGGCUCACCAAGGCGACGANCGGUAGCUGGUCUGAGAGGACGAUCAGCCACACUGGGACUGAGACACGGCCCAGACUCCUACGGGAGGCAGCAGUGGGGAAUCUUGCGCAAUGGGCGAAAGCCUGACGCAGCGACGCCGCGUGAGGGAUGACGGCCU